GGGCUUGUGGUCUAGUGGCUAUGAUGUCUCCCUUACACGGAGAGGAUCCUCGGUUCGAGUCCGAGCAGGCCCA
rnacentral:tRNA from 1 species